rnacentral:rRNA from 1 species
GACGAACGCUGGCGGCGUGCUUAACACAUGCAAGUCGAACGGAAAGGCCUCUUUCGGGGGGUACUCGAGUGGCGAACGGGUGAGUAACACGUGAGUAACCUGCCCUUGACUUUGGGAUAACUUCAGGAAACUGGGGCUAAUACCGGAUAGGAGCUCCUGCUGCAUGGUGGGGGUUGGAAAGUUUCGGCGGUUGGGGAUGGACUCGCGGCUUAUCAGCUUGUUGGUGGGGUAGUGGCUUACCAAGGCUUUGCCGGGUAGCCGGCCUGAGAGGGUGACCGGCCACAUUGGGACUGAGAUGAGGCCCAGACUCGUACGGGAGGCAGCAGGGGGGAAGAUUGCACAAGGGGUGGAAGCCUGAUGCAGCAACGCCGUGUGCGGGAUGACGGCCUUCGGGUUGAAAACCGCUUUCGCUCAUGACGAAGCUUUGUGUGACGGUAGUGGGUAAAGAAGCACCGGCUAACUACGUG